AGUGAACGCUGGCGGUAGGCCUAACACAUGCCAGUCGAACGGCAGCACAGUAAGAGCUUGCUCUUACGGGUGGCGAGUGGCGGACGGGUGAGGAAUACAUCGGAAUCUACUUUUUCGUGGGGGAUAACGUAGGGAAACUUACGCUAAUACCGCAUACGACCUACGGGUGAAAGCAGGGGAUCUUCGGACCUUGCGCGAUUGAAUGAGCCGAUGUCGGAUUAGCUAGUUGGCGGGGUAAAGGCCCACCAAGGCGACGAUCCGUAGCUGGUCUGAGAGGAUGAUCAGCCACACUGGAACUGUGACACGGUCCAGACUCCUACGGGAGGCAGCAGUGGGGAAUAUUGGACAAUGGGCGCAAGCCUGAUCCAGCCAUACCGCGUGGGUGAAGAAGGCCUUCGGGUUGUAAAGCCCUUUUGUUGGGAAAGAAAAGCAGCAGGUUAAUACCCCGCUGUUCUGACGGUACCCAAAGAAUAAGCACCGGCUAACUUCGUG
rnacentral:rRNA from 1 species